rnacentral:sRNA from 1 species
GCAGCUAGUAGACUUCUUCCUCCAUCCAAGAGACUAAGCCAUUUAGUUCCCUAGUCUCCCAGCUACUGUAGAUGCUUACCUCUGCCUCUGAUAUUCGAUCCUUGGAAGUCUUAUUUUUCCAAGAGUUUGGUCUUCUCAACUAUUUCCUAUAGAAGCAAAUUUCCUUUCACCAGGAAUGUGAGGUAUAGUCAGGUUCUCCUCUUUAGUUUCCCUCCAUUCAUCUCCUUUGAUACAGCUAGAAAGCUCUCAGCUCUUUCCCCAAGAAUCAUCAAAAGAGGGGAAAUCACAUAAAGACUGGGCAGAUGGUGGGUGCAGAUUUAGCUGAAGAGUUCAGAUCUUUGAGAAGGAGGUGCAUUCAUGACAACCAAGCAGCAGCCAGUAAGGAGGAGAAGGGGAGAGAGCUCAUUCGAUAUUAACAACAUUGUCAUCCCAAUGUCUGUUGCUGCAACAACUCGCGUAGAGAAACUGCAAUACAAGGAAAUCCUUACGCCCAGCUGGCGGGAGGUUGAUCUUCAGUCUCUGAAGGGGAGUCCUGAUGAGGAGAAUGAGGAGAUUGAGGACCUAUCCGACGCAGCCUUCGCCGCCCUGCAUGCCAAAUGUGAGGAGAUGGAGAGGGCACGGUGGCUGUGGACCACGAGUGUGCCACCCCAGCGGCGGGGCAGCAGGUCCUACAGGUCAUCAGACGGCCGGACAACCCCCCAGCUGGGCAGUGCCAACCCCUCCACCCCCCAGCCUGCCUCCCCUG